UAUGGCCAUACCACCCUGAAUGCACCCGAUCUUGUCUGAUCUCAGAAGCUCAGCAGAGUUGGGCCUGGCUAAUACUUGGAGAAAUAAUAU
rnacentral:rRNA from 1 species